rnacentral:rRNA from 1 species
UACGUAGGGGGCAAGCGUUGUCCGGAUUUAUUGGGCGUAAAGAGCGUGUAGGCGGCCAGGUAGGUCCGUUGUGAAAACUCGAGGCUCAACCUCGAGAGGUCGGUGGAAACCGUGUGGCUAGAGUCCGGAAGAGGAGAGUGGAAUUCCCGGUGUAGCGGUGAAAUGCGCAGAUAUCGGGAAGAACACCCGUGGCGAAGGCGGCUCUCUGGGACGGUACUGACGCUGAGACGCGAAAGCGUGGGGAGCGAACAGG